rnacentral:rRNA from 1 species
AACCGGCUCUUUGAGGCAUGUUUCGCUAAAGCGGAAAAAUUGCUCUCCAGUGAGUUGGCACUGCGGCAGAAAAUUGGUGCUUUUAACACUAUGAUCCUGCCAAAAGCCAGCUUUGCAUUUAUGCACAACCUCAGUUCAAGCGGCAAAUUUGCAUCAGCAAGAGCAACUGCUAGCGAAGCUGACCUAAAGAUUAGAGCCCUCAUGAAGGACUCCAAAAUCCGUCUUAGUUCCACCAACACUUUAUGCCGACCCGUCGCAGGGAGGCAUGGGGCUAGGCAGGUUCUUGUGGUCCCUGGAGGAAAGCAUCGUGUACGCAUGGUGUUACCUCCAGCUUACAGAAGAGCUGAAACCCGCUCUAGGGCUUUUCGAAAGUCUUGGGAAACGGUCUAAGCGAACUAUGUUGAGUGACUUCAACAGCAUCAUUGAGAGAUAUGUGAUUGUUGAAGUAUUGGAUAGCAGAAUCUGCGUUGGUGAAACCCUGCUGGACACCCCGUCCCAGGCAGCCAGAGCAAUCUGCUCACGUUUGCGUGAAAUCCGUCAACAGGAAGUACUUAGGGAGUGGACUCAGCAAGAAUCCCGAACUAAGCUUCUUUCUGUGGCGGACCUUGAUCUGAAAAGAUCGUUCCUUUGGCUUAAGAAAGGAAUGAUUUCCGGGUCUGUUGCUCGUAAUGUCAUUACCGUCCAAGAUGGUAAUUUAGUUAGCAGCACUACGGUCACAACAACAACUUCUGCAGAACAAGAUGUUUUGAGACCACUACUCCCUUGCCGCACCGGCUCACAUCGUAUCCGUGUGUCCGCACUGGAGGACCACCCUCAUGGUGGCCAGGCACAACAGCGUUGCAAGAUGGCUCUACAACGAGUUGUGUAAAUCAACUGGAUUCAACACGGUACACUUCCGGGAGGUCAUCGCUCCAGUCCGCGAGAACCACCGGUUCAUCUUGUACUGGGACCACAACAUUCCUACCCCUUUGAAGCUAAGGCACAAUCGGCCUGAUUUGUGUCUGUAGACAAGGAGGAACAAAGGGUCUACGUGAUUGAAUUUUCAGUCUCUUGGGCGCUCUCUGAACAUGGGUUGAGCCGUCAGGAACAGCGAAAGCUUUCCAAGUAUGGCGUAAACUCAAUGCUUGACGAGAAUGCCGUUUUGCCCUUUCCUGUUGGGCCAAACCUAAAGAUGGAGCUGAGGAACAUGUAUAAUUCCUCAGUGGAAAUCUUGCCAGUCGUUAUUGGAGCUUGUGGCGAAAUUUCCACGAACCUGCCUCGGUGGCUGGGAAAGUUGCCGCUCAAAUGUGACAUUGAUCGACUCAUCGAAUUGAUGAGCCGCGCUGCGGUGAUUGGCACAAGUAACAUUGUGAAGUGCCACACAGCACUACCGGAAUAAACCUAAUCCUUGGUCAUUUCCGUAUGCAUUUUGCAAGAUACAAGGGUCUCACACGCCCGGAUAUUUUCUGAAUGAAUUGAAGGCAAUUUCAAUGUUUCGACCCAAAAGAAUUGGCUCGCUCAAGACCAGGGUGGUUAGGGAUGUCAGUCCCGGAUCAAAAUAAACACUUAAGUGGAGUUCCACCCUGGUAAAAUCGGCGCUGGUUGGACGUGGCUUGCUACGAACCUCAGCGUCGUCGCGCCCGGGGGACCCGUGUUUGGAGCGUAAUGUCGGCGGCUGCUGGCACCAAACUCCAUAGCUAAUAGGAGCGAUGUCGGCGGCUGCUGGCACCAAACUCCUUAAGCGGGUGGGCUACUCAACUGCAUGGGUAGACUACGACUAUUGACCUUCGGGAAAUAGUUAGGCCUUGGCUUAGCCCCCAGCCCACCGGUAACGGGGGUGUAUAAAGAUACAAAGUGGCGCGCACGAAUGGAUCAACGAGAUUCCCACUGUCCCUAUCUACUAUCUAGCGAAACCACAGCCAAGGGAACGGGCUUGGCAAAUUUAGCGGGGAAAGAAGACCCUGUUGAGCUUGACUCUAGUCUGACUUUGUGAAGAAUCAUGAGAGGUGUAGCAUAAGUGGGAGCCGCAAGGCGCCAGUGAAAUACCACUACUUUCAUCGAUUCCUUACUUAAUCGGUAAAACGGGAGUGCGCCCGCAUGGGUGUCCAUUUUGGUGUUAAGGCGGGCCACCCGGUGGCCCGUCGACCCGCGCCGAUGACAGUGUCAGGCGGGGAGUUUGACUGGGGCGGUACAUCUGUCAAAGCGUAACGCAGGUGUCCUAAGGCGAGCUCAGAGAGGACGGAAACCUCUCGUAGAGCAAAAAGGCAAAUGCUUACUUGAUCCUGAUUUUCAGUACGAAUACGGACCGCGAAAGCGUGGCUUAUCGAUCCUUUUGAAUUGUAAAGUUUCCAGCAAGAGGUGUCAGAAAAGUUACCACAGGGAUAACUGGCUUGUGGCGGCCAAGCGUCCAUAGCGACGUCGCUUUUUGAUCCUUCGAUGUCGGCUCUUCCUAUCAUUGCGAAGCAGAAUUCGCCAAGCGUUGGAUUGUUCACCCACCAAUAGGGAACGUGAGCUGGGUUUAGACCGUCGUGAGACAGGUUAGUUUUACCCUACUAAAGACCGGUUGCUAUGAUAGUAAUCCUGCUUAGUACGAGAGGAACCGCAGGUUCAGACAUUUGGUUCAUGUGCUUGGUCGAUAGACCAAUGGUGCGAAGCUACCAUCUGAGGGAUUAUGAUUGAACGCCUCUAAGUCAGAAUCCCGCCUAGGCAAGAUAGCAAUACCAUUGCUCCCCGGUGUCGGGAGGCACUCUAUGCCCUCUCUCUCAGAGGUGCAGCCCAAAUGCCCCAGCAUCUGGCCCGAUGUGAGCACUUAGUUGAGCUCGCAUUGCCAUAGCCGUAGCACUCUUGUGCCAUGGUGGAACGUCGGGGCGCAAAAUCACUUGUAUACGACUUGACUACUGGUCAGGGGGUUGUUAGCAGUAGAGCAGCUUUUAUACUGCGAUCUGUUGAGACUUAGCCCUUGAUCGGAUGAUU